AACCUAGCACACCUGCGGUGUGUACCUGCGGAGGGAUCAUUACCGAGUUUACAACUCCCAAACCCCUGUGAACAUACCUAUAUGUUGCCUCGGCGGAUCAGCCCGCGCCCCGUAAAACGGGACGGCCCGCCGCAGGAUCCACAAACUCUGUUUUUAUUGUAACUUCUGAGUAACAAAACAAAUAAAUCAAAACUUUUAGCAACGGAUCU
rnacentral:misc_RNA from 1 species